UUGAUCAGGACAUGGCCAC
rnacentral:piRNA from 1 species